AUCACAGCAGCACCUAAGCCGUAGCUGCAGAUCAUCCAUACAAUGUCAUAAUGGACCAAAACAUCAAGGGAUGGGGGGACAGCAGAAACGUGGAAAAAAAAUCAACCCAAGAAACAAAGGAAAACUAGCAGACCUAUUCAUGUACACCCAUUAUCAUUAUUGAGAUAUAAGAAUUAACUCACUGAGUGUCAUUUGCCAAUUCAAUG
rnacentral:misc_RNA from 1 species